ACAGUUUCCUUCUUUGUAUGGAAUGCUUUAUGAACAUUAUCGAUAUCCUGGAUAAAAGUUUGCACAUAAACCUGAAAGUUCUAGCAAUAUUAACAUACUGUAUUUUCUAGUAUACAAGUUGAAUUUUUCAGACCAAAAGUUACAGCCAAAAAAGAUAGUCAACUUAUACUGGACAACUUUUGAGGACCAAAAGUUCUAUUUGAAAUGCAGCAGGAUUCGGAAUGAAAUAUUUACACUAUUUGUUUACACGAUAUACAACAUUAACUUUUGUACUAGAAAAUGAUGGACUCUCCUGUCAAAGAUGAUGUAUGUGUGUUCAGCUAUUUUGCCAAACAGCCUGCACAAAUGAAUUGUGUAUACUAAUCUAAUAUAUGUAUUGUACAUUAGCUCACUCCCUCCAUUAAAUCGAUGUUGCCUGAACAUUAUGUAUCUCGUGUCAGGUGUUGAAGUGAUCACAGAACAACAUGAGAUGAAGUGUUUUGCUCAAGACAACAAUGCACCACAUGGUCUAAGAAUUGAAACCUCAAUCUCACAUUCAUGAAUGUAACACCCAGAAUCGUUUGCAUGCCGGACAAAAUGCAUAGCGCUAUUUUGUCCACCUUUACAUUCUGAGUUCAAAUUCUGCCGAGGUCAACUUUGCUCUUCCUCCUUUCGAGAUUGAUAAAAUAAAUACCAGUUGAGUUGCUGGCCUUGUGCCAAAAUUUGAAACCAGUAUAAUCCCAACUAAGAUUAUGAAUAACCUCUUGUCCUCUGUUUCACUUUAAAUAGAUUUGGUGGUUCCCAAAAAUCUAUCAUUCAGUAAAUACCACCAAUUUUACACAAACCGGGACAAUUUAUCAACCAGUUGAAGAGCUCAUAAAAUUACGUAUUUCUAAUUUCAAUGCUAGAUAUGAUACACUUAGUGAAGAUCAAAUUCUGUAAGUUUUAAUCUUUCUUAUUUUUGUAUAGCUUUGUCAAUUUAUCUUUAUUCUUUUUCCCCGCACAUAUUUAUUCCAUGCUUCAUUACUCAGUUAUUCUCGUUUUUUGCUUUUUUUUUCUUCUCAAAAUUCAUUUUCUUGUUCAUAUUCUUUGAAUGGUGGUAGUCUCUGGUGGGUUGUUACCAAAAGGGUUAAUGACAGUUCUCUCAAUUCAGGGAUUCAUCUUUUAUCUUUUAUUUGUUUCAGUCAUUAGACUGUGGUCAUGCUGGGGUACCACCUUGAAGAAUUUUAGUCAAGCAAAUCAACCCCACUGCUUAGUUUUUUUUCUCUGUUUUUUUUUUUUUCUAAAAGCCUGGCACUUAUUCUAUUAGUCCCUUUGUCAAACGAAUAAGUCACAUGAACAUAAACACACCAAUACCAGUUGUCAAGGCUUUGGUCAGUCGAAGGCUAUAGAAGAAGACACUUGUCCAAGGUGCUACACAGUGGGACUGAACCUGGACCCAUAUGGUUGGGAAGCAAACUUCUUACCAUGCCUGCCCCUGCAAAAGUUAAGUUUGGCUAUUUACCUUUGUUAGCUAUUUAAUGUUGAUUGUAGGACCCACACAUGUAUUAUAUACUAUGGCAUAAAUCUAUAGAAUUAAAUCAUAUUUAGACUUCUCUAACUGGUAACUAUUCACUUUCAUUUUUAUUGUUUUCAGAAAAUAUCAUGAAUUCAACAUCUCUACUAAUUUCUACUUGGUUAAUUCAUACUGGCUGUUUUCCCUGUAUUGGUGUCUGGGUGUACAAUCUGUAACAACAGAUGAAUGUCACGUCUUCAAUAAAAUUGAAAAACCGUUAUGGCAUUUGACUCCAGGAACAUAUCUUAUGACAUGGGUUUCAGUUGAUAUAAUAUCUGCUAUCAUCAUCAUCAUCACCAUACUUAUAGUACAAUGCAGGGUCCGGUUAUUGGAAACAUGCUCCAAUCCUGAGAAAAUUUCAUUACAUUCUCAACAGACAAUGACCAUCCUUACAGACCAGUAUCAGUCUAAUUCAAGAACUAUGAAAGAAAAACUAUUAUUUACUGCUGACUAACUUGAAGAAGACGUUCUGGAAACAACAGAAGGUGUUUCUAAU